AUUGAACGCUGGCGGCAUGCUUUACACAUGCAAGUCGAACGGUAACAGCACUUCGGUGGCUGACGAGUGGCGAACGGGUGAGUAAUACAUCGGAACGUGCCUAGUAGUGGGGGAUAACUACUCGAAAGAGUAGCUAAUACCGCAUGAGAUCUAAGGAUGAAAGCAGGGGACCUUCGGGCCUUGCGCUACUAGAGCGGCUGAUGGCAGAUUAGGUAGUUGGUGGGAUAAAAGCUUACCAAGCCGACGAUCUGUAGCUGGUCUGAGAGGACGACCAGCCACACUGGAACUGAGACACGGCCCAGACUCCUACGGGAGGCAGCAGUGGGGAAUUUUGGACAAUGGGCGCAAGCCUGAUCCAGCAAUGCCGCGUGCAGGAUGAAGGCCUUCGGGUUGUAAACUGCUUUUGUACGGAACGAAAAGCCCUCUUCUAAUACAGGAGGGUCAUGACGGUACCGUAAGAAUAAGCGCCGGCUAACUACGUG
rnacentral:rRNA from 1 species